AUUGAACGCUGGCGGCAGGCCUAACACAUGCAAGUCGAACGAGUGGCGGACGGGUGAGUAAUGUCUGGGAAACUGCCCGAUGGGGGGGGAUAACUACUGGAAACGGUAGCUAAUACCGCAUACCAUCGGAUGUGCCCAGAUGGGAUUAGCUAGUAGGUGGGGUAACGGCUCACCUAGGCGACGAUCCCUAGCUGGUCUGAGAGGAUGACCGCCCACAGGGGAACUGAUGCACGGUCCAAAUUCCUCCGGGAGGCAGAAGUGGGGAAUAUUGCACAAUGGGCGAAAGCCUGCUACAGCCAUGCCGCGUGUAUGAAGAAGGCCUUCGGGUUGUAAAGUACUUUCAGCGAGGAGGCGUUACUCGCAGAAGAAGCACCGGCUAACUCCGUGCCAGCAGCCGCGGUAAUAC
rnacentral:rRNA from 1 species